rnacentral:rRNA from 1 species
GACGAACGCUGGCGGCGUGCUUAACACAUGCAAGUCGAACGAACAGGCCCUGCUCUUGUGGGGUGCUCGAGUGGCGAACGGGGGAGUAACACGUGAGUAACCUGCCCUUGACUUUGGGGUAACUUCAGGAAACUGGGGCUAAUACCGGGUAGAAGCUCCUGCUGCAUGGUGGGGGUUGGAAAGAUUCGGCGGUUGGGGAUGGACUCGCGGGUUAUCAGCUUGUUUGUGUGGUAGUGGCGUACCAAGGGUUUGACGGGUAGCCCGCCUGAGAGGGGGACCGGCGACAUGGGGACUGAGAGACGGCCCAGAAUCCUACGGGAGGCAGCAGUGGGGAAUAUUGCACAACGGGCGGAAGCCUGAGGCAGAAACGCCGCGUGCGGGAUGACGGCCUUCGGGUUGUAAACCGCUGUCGCCUGUGACGAAGCGUGAGUGACGGUAAUGGGUAAAGAAGCACCGGCUAACUACGUG